UAUUCAAGAAACAAACAAUCAACUAAAUAUCACAAAUGAACAGGUUGUUAACAUAAUUCAAUUGAAUCAAAAUUCCUCAUCAGUAGCGCCACCUGUUGGAAUUUAUAGUUUCUUUUUUUCUAUUCUAAAAUUAUUUUUACUUUGAUAAUCUUUGUUUUCAUUUUAAUCCUUUUUAAUUAAUCUUAGUUAAUUAAUCUGUUUGUUUUUAUUUAUUUAUUUAUUCUUUCCAAUUGGCACUUGGAUUAAAAUGUUUUACUAUCCAUCUGUCGUCUCUGUUUAUUACGAGACUCGUUCUUUUGAUCAUUUGGGUUGAUUUUCUUUCGGUGUGAUGGUGGUGUAAAUAGUGGUAAUGGUGGUGGUGAUUCUUUGAGUCUACUGGUGAAUUUGGUUUAUCUUUUUCUCCCUGUUCACUUUUUCCUCUAUGUGUGUGUUGGUUUUACCCUUUGAUGGGAUGAUAAUGGUGUUAAUGGGGAUAAUGAUGGUGAUGAUGAUUUUGUCAAAUGAUGGGAAAAGAAAGUCACAUCUCACUUGGUAAACCUCUUUUGGAUGAUUCAUGAUGAUAUAUCUUCCUAUUUCCUACCCCAUCUUCUGAUGGUGAUGAAUCAACAUUAACCUGUUUUUACACAAUAUGUGAAUUCAACAAGCCACCCAAUUGACCGGAUCCAAAGUUUACUCAAUCAAAGAAACAAUUGACCCUUAAACCUUGUCCAUUUAUAUUAUAUAUAUCAAACAUACACAAAAGAUCAUUUAAAUUGAUUGUUAUUCUGGAUGUGUUUUUAAUCAUCAUCAAAGAAAAAGACAUGAUUGGGAUGACAAAACAAAAGAAUCAAAUGACAUCUCAAAUUUCAUCUUUUAUCUUCUUCUUCUUCUUAUCCUCUUCUUAAUUCUUUAAAUGCUCAAUCACAAUUAAAUCACCAUGUACUUCACCCUAAUUCCAGAAAUUGAUCCUGAUACUGAUCCUAUUGAUAAUGAUGAUCAUUUAACAUUGGUGGUAAUCAACACAACACUAACAAGUUUUUCUGCUUUUCCAAUCAACCGAUUUACUUCAUCUAAUUAAAGGUUGACAAUGACAAAUUGAUGACAAUUUGAAACAACAAUUACACACACACGAAACAAAAUCUUAAUGAAAUUAACAAUUGAAUACAAAUGAUUUACAAUUGUAAUCUCAUCACCAGCAAGAAAAAAAGGGAGACAAGGAUGAAGAUGAAGAUGAUCAUCAGUUGAUUGACUUUUUGUCAGCAACUUUUAAUAGCUUCAAUAAUUAACUUAAUUGCAAUAGUAGGUACAACAAAACAACAAUUAAAUCAAGACAAACAAAACUUAAACAAUCAAGAAAAUUGGUUACAAAUGAAAAAUUUAAAUGGUUAAACAAUUAUCACUAUUAUUAUUAUCACCAUUAUCAUCAUCAUUAACUUUAUUUAAUAAUCAAUUGAAUCGCACCAAUGGUUAAUUUAAUCACUAAAUCAUCAUAAUCAACAAAUUAUCAACAAUUACCGAUAACCUUUCCUAAUGGACUUUUGAUCAACUCAAAUAAAUUAAAUCAUCGAUUCUCUAAGUAAUAAUGAUGAUAACCCAUUUGGUGACAAUCCACUUCCUCUCCUCCAGGAAAAAACUUUUCCUGUCAUCAUCUUCAACAGGUAUUCAUCCAACCGUUGCUGCCACACAAAAUCCUUGAUGGUAAAACACCUGAGCAACUUGGCCGUUUACAAAUAGAAAUUAAAAAACUGGACAAUGAUGCUGGUGUGGUUGACAUCACCUAUUGGGAAUCUCUUUUGGAAAAGGUCCAAUCAAUUAUGGCACGAGCUCGUCUUCACGAGAAACAAGGUGGUCGAAAUUUUGUCGAACCUUACAACAUAUUUACUUUGUUUUUUGAAAAACCUAACCCAAAUCAUCAUAUGAAUCAUUAAAAUUAUAAGAUUAAUUUCACUUUUAA